AUGUACCACGCGUCCGCUGCGGUUCCUGCGCGCCGUCCGCGCCCAUCUGACAGCUGCUCGCUACGUUUUGUUAGCC
rnacentral:sRNA from 2 species